rnacentral:rRNA from 1 species
CAACUUUCACCAAUGGAUCUCUCGGCUCUUGCAUCGAUGAAGAACGUAGCGAAUUGCGAUAAUUGUUGCGAAACGCAGCACGUGAGUCAUCGAAUUUUUGAACGCACAUUGUACCUUUUCUUACGAUUAGGUCUGCCUGUUUGAGCUUCAGUU